UCAGAAUCGUGGCUGCCUGGUAGACAUCAUAUCUUUGUUUCUCUGGCUGGUUUCCAGAUCUUGUCUCUGGAUCUGUGUCUCAAUAUGACUCAGUAGAUGCCCCUCAGCUCCUCCUCUCUAGACCUAAAACACACACUUAAAGGGGACUCUUAGUCCUUUUCCUCUCUCUUUUGUGUCUUUAUAAAUCUCUCUUCCCUCCCAUUUCACCCCUUCUCCCUUAGUUGAGCUAUCUUGGUCACCUGCUCCCCCCCUCCCACUUUCAUCCCAUAUCAUAACACAAUAUGAUCCCAGACUGCCCACCAAGGCAGGGACUCAUUCAGAGCCUCUUUUCUCUUCCCCAUCCCUCCUUGAAAUCCGACUGUCCCCCUGGGCCAGAGGUCUCUGGGGUGGCAGUGAGGUAGGGGAAUGGCUGGGCCUAAGAGGGCAGACACAGGACAGAUGGAGAGUCCAGUGAAGUAGGAGAAGGACAGGAGGAUCAAAAGAGAAACACAGUGAGAGUGAAAAAGUGACUGGGAGACAAAGGGGCAGAGGCUAAGAGUUAGCAGAAAGCCAGCAUAACAAGCUGGGAGAGUGAGAGAAACAUAAAGAGAGCGGCGAGACUGGGAGCAGAGAAAAAGAAAAAGAAUGGAGAGAGAAGGACGGGAAAGUCACAGCUAGAGAAGGCAGCUGGGGAGGGGCUGGCAUGGGUCAGGCUGGCUCUCCUGGGCUCGCUCCCUCCUUCUGAUGGGCCAUAAAUCUGUGUGUGUGCGCACACUUGUGUCUGUCUGUCCAUCUAUGUGCAUGCACGCACUGCACAUGUGUGCAGGGGUUGGUGGUGGGCAGAGGGAUGAUUCCCACAAUAUCCUCAUUCUCAUUUGUUUCAGGAGUCUCCCUCCUUGAGGCACCCCACACCAACCCCUCAUUUCCCAGCAUUCCUGAUGCUCCAGGGGCCAUUCCCAAGAAAUGCUGUAACUGCACUCCAGGGGCUAUGUGAAUGCCGGAUGCUUGGAAAGUUCCUCUCCCAUCUGCCUUCCAUCCUUUCUGCUGCAAAGAUCUGUGGUCCUCCGAGGGGCUCUCCAGGAGUCGACCCCCUGCCCGAUCUGUGAAACUCAUUCUCCACCGCCCUCAGGGCCCCCUUCUCUGGCUCAGGAUGAGAGGGAGAUGCUGGGUGGGGGCCUGGGGAGAGCGGCCACGCUAAAAAUAGGGGCUCCCAACGGCACCCCCAGCCCCUUAUUUAUCGCCUUCCAAACCCCACUCUCAAAGAAGCAUAAAUACGCAUUCCUAAUCCUGAA